UACGUAGGGUGCAAGCGUUAUCCGGAAUUAUUGGGCGUAAAGAGCUCGUAGGCGGUUUGUCGCGUCUGGUGUGAAAGUCCAUCGCUUAACGGUGGAUCUGCGCCGGGUACGGGCAGGCUAGAGUGCGACAGGGGAGACUGGAAUUCCCGGUGUAACGGUGGAAUGUGUAGAUAUCGGGAAGAACACCAAUGGCGAAGGCAGGUCUCUGGGUCGUCACUGACGCUGAGGAGCGAAAGCGUGGGGAGCGAACAGG
rnacentral:rRNA from 1 species